GAUGAACGCUGGCGGCGUGCCUAAUACAUGCAAGUCGAGCGAACGGACGAGAAGCUUGCUUCUCUGAUGUUAUCGGCGGACGGGUGAUUAACACGUGGAUAACCUACCUAUAAGACUGGGAUAACUUCGGGAAACCGUAUCUAAUACCGGAUAAUAUUUUGAACUGCAUUGUUCAAAAGUGAAAGACGGUCUUGCUGUCACUUAUAGAUGGAUCCGCCCUGCAUUAGCUAGUUGGUAAGGUAACUGCUUACCAAGGCAACGAUGCAUAGCCGACCUGAGAGGGUGAUCGGCCAGACUGGAACUGAGACACGGCCCAGACUCCGACGGGAGGAAACAGUAGGGAAUCCUACGCAAUGGACGAAAGCCUGACGGAGCACAGCCGCGUGAGUGAUGAAGGUGUUAUGAUCGUAAAACUAUGUUAUUAGGGAAGAACAUAUGUGUAAGUAACUGUGAACAUAUUGACGGUACCUAAUCAGAAAGCCACGGCUAACUCCGUG
rnacentral:rRNA from 1 species